UACGUAGGGUGCAAGCGUUGUCCGGAAUUAUUGGGCGUAAAGAGCUCGUAGGCGGCUUGUCGCGUCGGCUGUGAAAACCUGGGGCUCAACUCCGGGCUUGCAGCCGAUACGGGCAAGCUAGAGUUCGGUAGGGGAGACUGGAAUUCCUGGUGUAGCGGUGAAAUGCGCAGAUAUCAGGAGGAACACCGGUGGCGAAGGCGGGUCUCUGGGCCGAUACUGACGCUGAGGAGCGAAAGCUAGGGGAGCGAACAGG
rnacentral:rRNA from 1 species